rnacentral:lncRNA from 1 species
AUGGUGAACCCCAACCUGCGGCCCUCAGAACUGAGGAUGUCUAAACCCCUGGAGCUGGAGAAGGAGCUGCCGGGGGAGCGCCCGGACACAGAAACCAAUGGACCCGACACGAACCACCAGGUGAGAUUUGGGGAUUUUGGGGGUUUUUUGGGGGGUUUGGGGGGUUUUUUUGGGGGGUUUCACCCCCCCCAAAUCUGGGGGUCCCCCCAAAUUUGGCUCCUCCCCCCCCAGGCCCAGCAGAACAAACCCCCCCCCUUCGGCCCCGCCCCCCCCGGCCCCGGCGCCAAGGUGACGGAGCCGCCCCCGGCGCCGCCCCCGCAGGCGCAGCUGCUGCUGGCGGGGUCCCAACUGGCGGGGGUGAGUGACCCUGGGGACAUCUGGGGACAUUUGGGGACAUUUGGGGACAUUUGGGGACAUUGGGGGACAUUUGGGGACAUUGGGGGCGGGGCUUCGCUGCUGUGGGGGAGGGGCUUGGGGCUGGUGCUGACCGCUGCCCCGCCCCCUCCGUGUGACCCCGUGACCUUUGUCCUGUCCCCGUGUCACCGUGUCACUGUCACCGUCACCAUCACUGUCACCGUGUCACCGUCACCGUGUCACCAUCCCCAAUGUCCCCAUCUCCCCAAUCCCGUUUUUUCCCCUUUUCCCCCCAUUUUUUCCCAAUGUCCCCAAUCCUGUCCCCACUGUCUCCUGUCCCCUCAAUGUCCCCAAAUGUCCCCAAAUGUCCCCGAUGUCCCCAAUGUGUCCCUUGACUGUCCCCAAUGUCCCCACAUCCCCAAUCUCCCCCCAAUCCCCCUCUGUCCCCAAAUCCCUCCGCUGUCCCCAAUGUCUCCUGUCUGUCCCUCUGUCCCUGUCCGUCCGUCCAUCUGUCCCAUGUCCCUGUCCAUCUGUCUGUCCCUGUCCAUCCCUCUGUCCCUGUCCGUCUGUCCGUCCGUCCUGUGUCCCUGUCCAUCUGUCUGUCCUUGUCCCUCUGUCCCUGUCUGUCCGUCCAUCUGUCCGUCCCAUGUCCCUGUCCAUCCCUGUCUGUCCCUGUCUGUCCCCGUCCCUCUGUGUGUCUGUCCGUCCAUCCAUCGGUCCCGUGUCCCUGUCCAUCCAUCCGUCCCUCUGUCUGUCCGUCCAUCUGUCCGUCCCAUGUCCCUGUAUGUCCCUGUCCAUCUGUCCAUCCCUCUGUCCCUCUGUCCCUCUGUCCCUGUCUGUCCCUCCGUCCCUGUCCCUCUGUCCCUCUGUCCGUCCCUGUCCCUCUGUCCCUCUGUCCCUCUGUCCGUCCCUGUCCCUCUGUCCGUCUGUCCCUGUCCGUCUGUCCCUGUCCCUCUGUCCCUGUCUGUCCCUGUCCGUCUGUCCCUGUCCCCCUGUCCCUCUGUCCCUGUCCCCCUGUCCCCGUCCGUCUGUCCCUCUGUCCAUCCCUCUGUCCCCUCCGUCCCUGUCUGUCCGUCCCUGUCCAUCCCUGUCCCUCUGUCCGUCCCUCUGUCCAUCCCUGUCCCUCUGUCCCUCUGUCCCCCUGUCCCUCCCUGUCCCCCUGUCCCCGUCCCUCCCCCCAGCUGGCGGCGCAGCUUCUGGCCCCGCAGCACUUGGUGGCUCAGGCGCAGCUUCUGGCGGCGGCGGCGGCGGCGGCGCAGCUCCCGCAGGGCCCCCCCGGGACCCCCUCGGGGACCCCCACGGGGACCCCCGGGACCCCCCCCGGGCCGCCCCCGCUGCCGCUGCCCGGCCCCAUCCAGCUCUCGCCCCAGGUACGGGGGGGGGGGAUAA